CCCUGUAAUAAUGUUGCUCUGCCUGCCCUAUACACGAGAGGGGGACUAUAUAGGAAUCAAUGGAGCUGUCACUACCACGAACUACCCCGCGAUCUGGCAUAUAGGGUACAAUCACAGAUGAAUACGGUAUAGGCACCACGCCUACACAAUACUUAUCAUUUACCCACUGUACACAUGGAUAAACGCUAUACGAUCCUUAACAUGCAUAUAAUUCCAAUCUAACUAAGCCAAGCAUAUAACUAUGAUAAACUAAGAACGAUAUAAUUGCAAAUAUAAACAAGUAGAGCAAAGUCAUAAUCAAUAUAUUGAAGUAGAACAAAGUCAUAUUCAUAAUAUUGAAGAACAAUGAUGAACAAAUGAAGAACAGUAGAGGAAUUACCAAGAAUCCUCUUGACAGAUCUGGAAACCAAUCGAAGGUUAACUCCUUCUAGUUCUAAUCCUAUUAGCUAUGCUAAACUAGAGAUCUAGUUGAUGUGCUGGCUCUAGGGCUUGAUCAGAGACUUCUUCUCCCGAAAUGAAUGAAUGAAUUAGGGCUUUAGAGGUCCUCUCCUCCAGGGGCCAGGGGCCUGCUUAUAUAGCCCUUCCAAAUGAAUAUGGGCCAUCGGAUCAAACCGACCUUAAUCGCACGGUUUUCCUUAAUCCUCUAGGUCGGUGGAGCAUGAUCCGUGAGGUGGAGCCUAAUUGGCUCUCAGGCCAGGGCGGGCGCCCUAUCCCCGAGCCCUCUCGGCCUCCCGCUCGUUCCUGUGGCUUCUGGACUCUUCUAGAUGUUAGAUAAUUGCGGUGCACGUUAAUAUCUCUAUGUAAACCCGUCGUUUGGGCCUUUCUUCCAUGUUUCCUGAUAACCCCCUGUAGAAAUAGACAAACACCAAAACUCGUGGAAUUCUAUCAGAUAAAACCCUAAGUCUGGGUGUCGGUUGCAUUUGGAUCCCUUUCUUUGUUUAUUUGUUGAUUAUAUUUGAUACUUAAGGACCGUCAACAAACUCCCCCAAGCUUACCUCUUGCUCGUCCCUGAGCAAGGAUAGACUCAAUGAUGGAAUAGAAGCUGCUGUAAUCCCUUUAAAAGUUGACGGUACACAUGCUUUCAAAUGAGGUCUCAUCUCUGAGUUAGAGUAAACUGUCAAGAUUAAAACUUACUCAUUUUACCUUUUACCAUGGGACUUGUAACCGUCACUUUUGUCUUGAGCAGUGAAAAGAUAGAACGGUCUAGUCAAGCGUCAUGUCUCUUAUUUUUGAUCAGCUAUAGCUCUGGAGUUUUUGUAGAUUUUCAAAUAAAACUCAGAGAUUCCUUUGUAUGACUCUCUCAGAUAUCUCUUUUGUGGUAUUUCUAGAUCCUUACCAAGGCAGUGAUGGUAUAUGCCUUCUCUCAAAGUAUGUGGUAUUUGUGGUAUGAAGCAUAGUAAACUUGCCUUCUCUCUCACCCUACUUUCAUAAGGCUUUUGAUAUCUGGAGCUCAUAGGUGGGAGAUAAAGUAUACAUACUUACAAGACAUUUAUUGCAUAGUCAAACCAUGGAUCUAGAGAAACAAGUCAAUAAGUCAAAUCAAGAUGUGCAUGUGUGGCGAAUGAAUGGUGUAACAAUGGUGAAAGUCUAAUUCUACUUGUUGUGCUCUUUUGAGGGGAUACAUACCUUUCUUGCUCUUUGAAACUUUUUGAGGAGAAUGAGAUGCUCUAUAUUUUCUUUUUCUUUCCCCUCAGGUGGGUAUCUUGUACCCCUAAUUCUACUAUCGGACACUUGUCCAUUUCUACCUCUCGUCUCACUUUUUCUUUUCUUUUGAGGUUCCGGGCGCUUGCCCCUUUUUAUUUCCUCGUAUCUUUUUUCUUUUUUUAGAGCACUCAUCUCCUGAAAUAGUAUAGCAAGUGGUAGUAACCAAGAUAACUCGAGCAUUUAUUUCACGUGGAAAAAACAGAAAUAGGAGAAUGUUUUUGGCUAUUCUCUCUCGGAUUAGGAGUAGAAUACUUUUGGGUGGCUCUAGAGAUGGAAAUGAGUAGAUAUAUGUGGUGCGUACUUCUGGAGUAGAAGCAGCAUGUGUGAGUGAACGUGCAAGAGAAUCUUGAUUUUAACCGCAUGACAAGCUCCUAAGGGUCUACACAGCUUGACCACACUCAAUGCUCAUAAGCAGUAAAAAGUAAAUGUGUGGCUCAAAGUCUAGCAAGCAUGUAUAUAUGGCUGUGGUAGAAAUUUAAACUCUCAUCAUAUAAGAACUCAUCAUGUGAUAUUUUAAAGAUUUUCAAAGAUAAAAUUCUCUAGAGUUCUAGCAUCUAUAGGAACAGAUAAACAGCAGCUCAACCUUCCCAUAUCAUAUCCGUUAACAACUUAGACUUCAGAUCAAGUUCUCUUCCCACAAAUUCAGGUUUAGAGCAAGCUUUAAAUUAUAACAGUUACGUCUAAACUAGAGAGAGAACUCAAAUAUGAAAAUUAGGCAGAGCAACUAUUCAUCAUAUCCAUGCUAGAGUCUUAUUAAGAUUCAGUUUAGCAUAGCCACUUUAUUUAUUUAUUAAGCAUACUAAGCAAAAGAUAUAUAUAUAUAUAUAUAAGCACAAAAUCUUUAUUUGGUUUUUCAUGGUUAUGUAUAUAUUUUUUUUAAUAUAGUAUAAGUAUAAAUGUAGAUAGAAAUAUUUAGGGGGAUAAAUGGGGGUGCUCUCCCCCAAGCUGGAUUUUGACGUAAUUUCUUCUGAUGUAGCUAGCAGGUGCUGGAGGUGUAUUUGAAAGUCGGCAGCACCCUGAGAGCAAUUAGAAUGUCCUCCGUCUGCUAGUCUUCUUGAUCCUUGAAUUCUGUGGAGCUCCAAUAGACAACAAAGCUUUGUGGAACUGAUUAGAUGUUAGCAUAAUAUUUAGCCUUUAUCAUAUUGAGCCACCUCAAUAAAUGCUACUUUCUUUGGUAGGAUCACAAUUUUAUUUUUGUAUUUUCAUUUUUAUAGAGUAGAAGAAUAUUUUUAUUUUAUUAUUUUUUUUAUGCCACCACAGUGAAUGUACUUAUGGGUUUUAUGCCACUUGUAUACUCACAUGGGGCUUACUGGUUUUAACAUUUUUAUUUUCUUUUUAGGAUAGUAUGAACAUAAUUAACUAAGCAAACUACUUUAAAUAAUUGAAAGGAAAAGGAUAACUACCAAGUUUACCUCUUGGCAAGGCGUUCGGUGUUUUUAAGUCCUCCGAACGGGACUCUCCGUUUUCUCAGUCGUCUUGGGAUUCGCUGGAUGGCAUAGUCGGUGCCUCUGGCGGUGCCUCCUCUUCGUGUAUAACUAUCUUCUUUCUCCACACCUGACUCGGUGUUACGGUCUCCUCAGGAUAGUUCUGUUCAAGCUGUAUGUCUUCAGACCUUACCACUUCUUCUUCAUAGUCUGCCCAUCCGUCCUUGAUGAUUUGCCUCCUCUGGUUGCGGUUGCGUCGUCUUCUUCUUGUCCUGACCUGCUUAGAGUCUUCAACUAUAUAGUUAGGGUCACUAAAAUAGCGGCGUACCUUCUCAUAGUGGAAGUGCAUGUGGACUUCUCCGGUUCCAAUGUAGAUGAUUGCUUUAAUGGUGCUGAGGAACCGUCUCCCAAGGAUGAUGGGUGGAUCAUACUCGUCUUCUCCCAUGUCAAUAACCUAAAAAUCUGUAUGGACAAAACGAUCAUCUAUUUUGACAGGGACAUCAGUUACUAUACCUUCAACCUUUCGGAAUGUCUAAUCUGCCAUCUGGAGCUGAAUGUAUUUCGGUUUUAGGGGCAUGCGAAUAGGAGCUGAUAGGUGACUGCGGCCAUUAUGUUGACGCCCGACCCGGUGUCGCAAACCGUCUUGUGAAAGUUGUAUCCAUUGAUGGAGCACUGGAUGCUUGGCAUACCUGGGUCAUCCUUAUUGGUCAGGAAUGGUGACUUGAGUUGACAAUCUUGACCUCCUUGAAUUGCAGUGACCAUCUAAGCUGACUUGGUCCACACUUGCUUGUUCCUGAUCCUCCUGUUGGUCCUCUUCCUUGGUUCAUGUCGAGAUUGCUCUGGGAUUUGUAUAGUCUUGUUCUUGAAGGAAAACGUCUCCUUCCUUCCCUUGAUGUAGAAACUGAUCUUGGCAGCACUAGCGUAGAUGACAGCCCCCUAGGUGUUCAGGAAUGGCCUCCCUAAGAUGACGGGUGCCCUCUCAUCAGAACCUGUCUCUAUCACCACGAAGUCUGCUCGGGCGUACAAGGUACCAACUCGGAGGCAGAGGUUCUUCAAUAUUCCCUUGGGGAAACUUAUCGUCCGAUCUACAAGCUGCAAGUACAUGGUUGUUUCUAGUAAAGGAUGUGUAAAGAAUUUUUCAUAGACUACCUUGGGCAUAAUGUUGAUGCUGGAGCCCAAGUCGCAGAGUGCUUCUGGGAAGUCCACCCUGCCCAUGGAGAUCGGUAUGACGGGGCGUCCUGGAUCGCCUCUCUUGAUCGGCAGAAGGUCAGUAGUUACUUCCACAACGUGGUUACUCCAGUAGUUACCUGUAUCAAACAUGUCUACAAGAUUUGCAGAUUCUAAUCCUUCCAGCUGUGAUGGUAUACCGGGGUUAGUAGUUGGAACAGCAGCAGCUAUUUGAUUUAAUUGAGAUUCAAUCAUUUUAUUAAAGCUAAUUUGAUUCUUGAUGGCAGUAGAGAAAUUAUGCAUUCUGUUAUUUAUAUUUUCUAGCAUUUUAUCAUUAGAUGCCAAUUUCUUAGAUAGGUUAUCCAUUAGGUUUCCUUGAUUAGACACUAACACUCUUAGAGGUGGAAAAAUAUUAUUAUUAUUGUAAGAAUUGUUACCUUGAUAAUUACCUGAGUAGUUAGGCCUCUGUUGAUUCCAACCUUGAUUUUAUUGAGGACGGUAGUAGUAGUAGUUGUUGUUGUUGAUGUAGUUCACGUCCUUAAGAAUCUCAGGGCAGUGAUUGUCUGAGUGUCCAGUAUCUCCACAAUCCUCACAAGUCAUGUGAGAGUCGUAGACGUGCAUGACUUCUUUCUUAUCUCCCGCUCUAUCAUCGAGCUUCUUCAUGAGCAGGUCUAGCUUGGCAGACAGCAUGUCUACCUCCUUGAGCUGGUGCAUACCUCCACCUCUCUUGCGUGUUUGGGUCAUUUCUUCAUUCCAGCCUUGGUUGGACGCCAUCUUCUCCACAAGAGCUGUGGCUUGUGGUAUGGUGAGUGAUAGGAAUGCUCCUCCAGCUGUAGCAUCCAUGGUCUCACGGGCACUAUUGCCGAGCCCAUGAUAAAAUGUCUGCAUCAGUAGCCAGCUCUCCAUUCCAUGAUGGGGGCAUUCUAGGAUGUAGUCUUGGAAGCGCUCCCAUGCUUCUGGAACGGAUUCAUCAUGUUGUUGCUGAAAACUUGUAAUUUUCCCACGGAGAGGAUUGGUCUUACCCAUGGGAGAGAACUUAGCCAGAAAGUUUAUGGAGCAGAGUGCCCACGUAGUAUUCUUCUCCUUUGUAGCGUAGAACCACUGCUUCGCUCUCCCCAACAGUGAGAAUGGGAAGAGGCGAAGUAGUAUAGCAUCUCUGGGGACUCCUGACAUGGUGAAUGUGCUGCAAAUCUCCAGGAAGUGUUGGAGAUGAGCACUAGCAUCUUCGUACGCCUUUCCACAGAACUAGUUGGCUUGCACCAUGUUGAUGAGUCCAGGCUUGAGCUCAAAGCUACAGUCGAUCUCCACAGCAGGUCCAAUGCGGAUGUUGUCUGUAGUGGGAGCUGAGAACUCGUGGAUCGACUUGUUCGCCAUGGCUUCGUACUCUGAAGACAAGUUCCUGAUGAAACUUCGGUGGUCUUCUUGGUUUGAUGAAGCUUUGUGCUGAAGUGUUGACGAUGUCUUCUUGAGCUUGGCUCUUGUUUUUCUGAAUAACGCUUCGGGGUCGUCAACAAAAUUUCCUAGAUGAUGUCUUCUAUUCAUACAUUAUCAUGCAUAAAAUAAUCAAAAUAGAAAAAUACAGGCAUAAAACUGUAUGAGAGAAUUGAUAAUCUCAAUCAUAUUAGUGAUGCGAAUGAUGACUCGAAAUUUCGUAUUCAUUCCUUAUUAGUAAUCAACCUUCCCCAGCAACGGCGCCAAAAAUGCUUGUUGGGCAUUCUUAACGUCAUUACCAAAAGUAGACUUAGUUUUCUAAUUCUGAUAACGGCGCCAAAAAUGCCGAACCUAUCCCUCAUGCCACUUAAGCCAAGUUGUCAUCCCCAGCAUGACAUGAGAGACGCGGUAUUAAAAAUAUGCAAUUGCUCUUCUGAAUGAAUAAUAAAUGAGAUCUACAAGCGCACAGAUUAAUACUGAUGUAGCAUUUUAACCGGGAAGUAUUACUGGUAUCGUUAUUAAUAUUUUUACCACUGGGAAGGGAUUGCUAAUCAUCAAUAUUGAUUAAGGAAUGGAAUAUGGAAUAUGUAUAAUAGAGAGCAUUUAUCUAUCUCUUUCAUAUAGGGAUAAAUGUCACAUAAAAGAUAGAUAGAGUAUGAAUGGUGACAAAGAUAAUUAAUCUGAUCAGCAUAACUAGCCACAUAUAAUAAUGAUAAGCACCUCAAUAGAUAUUGUAGCAAGCCAUUAGCAUGGAAUUAGGAUGAACUACAAGAAUAUUUUCUAACUUAUUUGUUGACGGUCCUUAAGUAUCAAAUUUAAUUAUCAAAUAAACAAAGAAAAGGAUCCAAAUGAAAUCAACAUCUAGACUUAGGGUUUUAUCUGACAAAAUUCCACGAGUUUUGGUGUUUGUCUAUUUCUGCAGGGGGUUAUUAGGAAAUACGGAAGAAAGGCCCACACGUCGGGAUUACAUAAAGAUAUCAACGUGCCGCGCAAUUAUCUUACAUCUAGAAGACUCGAGAAGCCACGGAAAGGAAGCGAAGGCCGAACGGGGCCUGGCCCUGGGCGCCCGCCCAGGUAACCAGGGCGCCCGCCCCCCUUCUGAGUCCAAUCAGGACUCUCUUUCGGGAAAGAUCUCCACCGACCUAAAGGAUCAAGGAUAAUCGUUCAAUCAAUGUCGGUUUGAUCCAACGGCCCAUAUUCACUUGAAGGGACUAUAAAACUAGACCCCCUGGCCCCUGGAGGAGAGAGCCUCUCAACCCGAAUUCAUUAUUCUCAAGGGAGAAGAAGCCUCUGAUCAAGAUUAGAGCCACCACAUCAAUUAGAUAUCUAGAUUAGCAUAGCUACAUAGGAUUAGAACUAGAAGGAGUCAAUCUUCGAUUGGUUUCCGGAUCUGUCAAGAGGAUUCUUGGUAAUUCUCUAAUUGUGCUUCUAAUUGUUCUUCUAAUCAUCUUUGUUCUUCAAUAUUAUGAAUAUGACUUUGUUGUACUUCAAUAUAUUGCUUAUGACUUUGCUCUACUUGUUUAUAUUCAAGAUUAUAUUGUUCUUAGUUUAUCAUAGUUAUGUACUUGGCUUAGUUAGAUUGGAUCUAUAUACAUGCUUAGGAUCGUAUAGCGUUUAUCCAUCGGAACCAUAGGUAAAUGAUAGAUAUUGUGUAGGCGUGGUGCUUAUACCGUAUUUAUCUGCGAUUGUACCCAAUAUGCCAGAUCGUGGGGUAGUUCGUGAUAGUGACAGCUUCAUUGAUUCUUAUAUAGUCCCCCUCUCGUGUAUUGGGCUGGCAGAGCAAUAUUAUUACAGGAGAGUGUUUGCUAUGUUUCUCAUUUACCUUGCUAAUAUCACUAUGCAUGGGCGUAGUCUUGUCUCGCAAUGAUUGCUAAGUAUGCUUGCACUAACUAUGAUAAUGCUAGACUAUAUAGUUGAGAAUAACUUAGGAAAUAUUCUUGUAGUUUGUUCUAAUACCAUGCUAAUGACUUUCUAGAAUAUCUAAUUGAGGUGCUUAUCAUAUUUAUUAUGUGGCUAAGUUAUGCUGAUCAGAUUAAUUAUCUUUGUCACUAUUCAUUACUUCAUAUAUCCUUUAUGUGACACUUAUCCGUAUAUGUUAUCCCUGUAUGAAAGAGUUAGAUAAAUGUUCUCAAUUAUAUAUGCAAUGAUAGAUACUCAAUCUCAUAUUCUAUUCUGUAAUCAAUAUUGAUGAUUGCUAAUCCCUUCCCAGUGGUAAAAAUAUAAAUAACGAUACCUAGAAUACUUCCCGGUUAAAAUGCUACAUCGGUAUUAAUCUGUGCGCUUGCAGAUCCUAUUCAUUAUUUAUUUAGAAGAGCAAUUGCAUAUUUCAAUACCGCGUCUCUCAUGUCAUGCUGGGGAUGACAACUUGGCUUAAGUGGUAUGAGAGAUAGGUUUGACAUUUUUGGCACUGUUACUAGAAUUAGAAAACUUUCUACUUUUGGUAAUGAUGUUAAGAAUACCCAACAAGCAUUUUUGGCGCCGUUGCCAGGGAAGGUUGAUUACUAAUCAGGAAUGAAUAAAGGAUUUUGAGUUAUCAUUCCCAUCACUAAUAUGAUUGAGCUUAUCAAUUCUCUCAUACAGUUUUACCCUAAUAUUUACUAUUUUUAUCUUAUGCACGGGAAUGUAUGAAUAAAAGACAUCUUCCAGAACAUUUUGUUGUCAAUCCUGAAGCAUUAUUCAGAAAAACAAGAGCCAAGCUCAAGAAGAGAUCAUCAACACUUCAGCAAGAAGCUUCAUCCAAUCAAGAAGAUCACCGGAACUUGUCUUCAGAGUUCGAAGCCAUGGCGAACAAAUCAAUCCGUGAGUUCUCAGCUCCCACUACGGACAACGUCCGCACUGGACCUGCUGCAGAGAUCGAUGGCCACUUUGAGCUCAAUCCUGGACUUAUCAACAUGGUGCAAUCCAACCAGUUCUGUGGGAAGGCACACGAAGAUGAUAGUGCUCAUCUCCAACACUUCCUGGAGAUUUGCAACACAUUUACCAUAUCAGGAGUCCCCAGAGAUGCUAUACUACUUCGCCUCUUCCCAUUCUCACUGUUAGGAAGAGCGAAGGAGUGGUUUUACGCUACAAAGGAGAAGAACACUACGUGGGCACUCUGCUCAACAAACUUCCUGGCUAAGUCCUUUCCCAUGGGCAAGACCAAUGCUCUCCGUGGGAAGAUUAUAAGUUUUCAGCAACAAAAUGAUGAAUUUGUUCCAGAAGCAUGGGAGCGCUUCCAAGACUACAUCCUAGAAUGUCCCCAUCAUGGAAUGGAGAGUUGGCUACUAAUGCAGACAUUUUAUCAUGGGCUCGGCAACAGUGCCCGAGAGACCAUGGAUGCUGUAGCUGGAGGAGCAUUCUUAUCACUUACCAUAUCACAAGCCAUAGCUCUUGUGGAGAAGAUGGCAUCCAAUCAAGGCUGGAAUGAAGAGAGGACCCAAACACGCAAGAGAGGUGGAGGUAUACAUCAGCUCAAGGAGGUAGACAUGCUAUCUGCAAAGCUAGACCUGCUCAUGAAGAAGCUCGACAAUAGAGCUGGAGAUAAGAAAGAAGUUUUGCACAUCUACGACUCUCACAUGACUUGUGAGGAGUGUGGAGAUACUGGACACUCAGGCAAUCACUGCCCUGAGAUGCUUGAGGAUGUGAACUACAUCAACAAUAACAUCAACAACUACUACAACCGUCCUCAACAAAAUCAAGGUUGGAAUCAACAGAGGCCUAACUACUCAGGUAAUUAUCAAGGUAACAAUUCUUACAACAAUAACAAUAAUUUUCCACCUCUGAGAGAGUUAGUGUCUAAUCAAGGAAAGCUAAUGGAUAACCUAUCUAAGAAAUUGACAUCUAAUAAUAAAAUGCUAGAAAAUAUAAAUAAUAAAAUGGAUAAUUUCUCUACUGCCAUCAAGAAUCAAAUUAGCUUUAAUAAAAUGUUUGAAUCUCAAUUAAAUCAAAUAGCUGCUGCUGUUCCUACUACUAAGCCCGGUAUACCAUCACAACCGGAAGGAUUAGAAUCUGCAAAUCUUGUAGACAUGUUUGAUACAGGUAAUAACUGGAGUAACCCCAUCACUAAAUUCACUACUGACCUUCUGCCGGUCAAGAGAGGCGACCCAGGACGCCCCGUCAUCCCGAUCUCCAUCGGCAUGGUGGACGUCCCAGAAGCACUCUGUGACUUUGGCUCUAGCGUCAACAUUAUACCCAGGGUACUCUAUGGAAAAUACUUUACAUAUCCUUUAUUAGAGACAACCAUGUGUUUGCAUUUUGCACAUCAGACGAUAAGUUUCCAAAAGGAAUCUUGAAGAACUUUUGUGUCCGAGUUGGUACCUUGUAUGCCCGAGCAUACUUCAUGGUGAUAGAGACCGGUAAUGAUGAGAGGGCACCCAUCAUCUUAGGGAGGCCAUUCUUGAACACCUCAGGAGCUAUCUUCUACGCUAGUGUUGCCAAGAUCAGUUUCUACAUCAAAGGGAGGAAGGAGACGUUUUCCUUCAAAAACAAGACUACACAAAUCCCAGAUCAAUACAGACGUGAAUCAAGGAAGAGGACCAACAGGAGGAACAGGAACAAGCAAGUGCGGACCGAGUCAGCUAAGAUGGUCACUGUAGUUCAUAGAGGCCAAGAUCAACAACUUAAGUCACCAUUUUUGACCAAGAAGGAUGACCCAGGAUUGCCAAGCAUCUACUGCUCCAUAAAUGGAUACAACUUCUACAAGACGACUUGCGACAUCAGAUCGGGCGUCAACAUAAUGGCCGCAGUCACCUAUCGGCUCUUGUUCGGAACCAUGCCCCUGAAACCAACAUACAUUCAGCUCCAGAUGGCAGAUCAGACGUUUCAAGAAGUUAAAGGUACGGUAAUUGAUGUCCCAGUCAAAAUAGACGAUCAUUUUAUCUACACAGACUUUCAGGUUAUUGACAUGGGAGAAGACGAAUACGGUCCACCCAUCAUCCUUGGAAGACCGUUCCUCAGCUCCGUUAAAGCAAUCAUCUACAUUGGAACCGGAGAAGUGCAUAUGCACCUCCCCUCAGAGAAGGUACGCCGCUAUUUUACUGACCCUAACUAUAUUGUUGAAGACUCCAAGUAGGUCAAAAAACGACGCAACCGCAACUAGAGGAGGCAAAUCAUCAAGGACGGAUGGGCAGACUAUGAAGGAGAAGUAGUAAGGUCAGAAGACGUACAGUUUAAACAGAAUUAUCCAGAGGAGACUGAAGCACCGAGUCAGGUAUGGAGAGAGAAAAUAACUAUACAUGAAGAGGAGGCGCUGCCGGAAGUACCGACUACGCCUCCCAACGAAUCUCAGGACAACUGAAAAUACGGAGAGUCCCGUUCGGAGGACUUAAAAACACCGAACGCCUUGCCAAGAGGUAAACUUGGUGUUAUCCUUUCCCUUUCAAUUAUUUCAAAUAGUUUGCUUAGUCAAUCAUGUUCAUACUAUCCUAAAAAGAAAAUAAAAAUGUGAAAAAAUAGUAAGCCCCAUGUGAGUAUACGAGUGGCAUAAAACCCAUAAGUACAUUCACUAUGGUGGCAUAAAAAUAAAAUAAAUAUUUCUUUUCUGCUUUAUAAAAUAAAAAUAUAAAAAUAGGGAGUAACAUUUAUUAAGGAGUCUCAACAUGAUAAAGGCUAGAUAUUUAUGCUAACACUUAAUCAGUUCCACAAGCUUUGUUGUCUAUUUGAGCUCCACAGAAUUUAAAAAUCAAGAAGACUAGCAAACGGAGGACAUUCUAAUCGCUGUCAAGAUACUGCCGACUUUCAAAUACACCUCUACCACCUGCUAGCUACAUCAAGAGAAAUUACGUCAAAAUUUAGCUUAGGGGAGAGCACCCCCAUUUAUCCCGCUAAGUAUUUCUAUCUAUCUUUAUACUUAUACUAUAUUAAAAUAUAAAUAUACAUAACUAUGAAAAACCAAAUAAAGAUUUUAUGCUUAUAUAUAUAUAUCUUUUGCUUAGUGUGUUUAAUAAAUAAAUAAAGUGGCUAUGCUAAUCUGAAUCUUAAUAAUAAAACUCUAGCAUGGAUAUGAUGAAUAGUUGCUCUGCCCAAUUUUAAAAUUUGAAGUUCUCUCUCAAGUUUAGACAUAACUGUUAUAAUUUAAAGCUUGCUCUAAACCUAAACUUGUGGGAUGAAAACUUGAUCUGAAGUCCAAGUUGUUAACGGAUAUGAUAUAGGAAGGUUGAGCUGUUGUUUAUCUGUUCCUAGAGAUGCUAGAAUUCUAGAGAAUUUUAUCUUUUAAAAUCUUUAAAAUAUUGUAUGAUGACUUCCUGUAUGAUGAGAGUUUAAAUUCCAACCACAACCAUAUAUACAUGCUUGCUAGACUUUGAGCCACACAUUUACUAUUUACUCCUUAUGAGCAUUGAGUGUGGUCAAGCUGUGUAGACCCUUAGAAGCUUGUCAUGUGGUUAAAUCAAGAUUCACUUGCACGUUCAUUCACAUAUGCUGCUUCUACUCCGGAAGUACCAUGCACAUAUAUCCACCCAUUUCCAUCUCCAGAAUCACCCAGAAAUAUUCUACUCCUAAUCCGGGGAGAGAAUAGCCAAAAAUAUUUCUGUUUUUCCCUGUGAAAUAAAUGCUCAAGUUAUCUUGUUACUACCACUUGCUAUAUUAUCUCAAGAGAUGAGUGCUCUAAAAAAAAAGAGAGAAAGAAAAAAGUAUACGAGGAAAUAAAAAGGGGCAAGUACCCGGAACCUCGAAAGAAAAGAAAAAGUGAGACGAGAGGUAAAAAUGGACAAGUGUCCGACAGUAGAAUUAGGGGUACAAGAUACCCACCAGAGAGGAAAAAAAGAGAAGAGCAUCUCAUUCUCCUCAUAAAGUUUCAAAAAGCAAGGAAGGUAUGUAUCCCCUCAAAGAGCAAAAGUAGAAUUAGACUUUCACCAUUGUUAUCAGAAUCAUCACCAUACACCAUUCAUUCGCCACACAUGCACAUCUUGAUUUGACUUAUUGAUUUGUUUCUUUGGAUCCAUGGUUUGACUAUACAAUAAAUGUCUUGUAAGUAUGUAUACUUUAUCUCCCACCUAUGUGCUCCAAAUAUUAAAGCUUUAUUAGAGUAGGGUGAGAGAGAAGACAAUGUCACUAUGCUUUAUACCAUAAAUACCACAUAUUUUGAGAGAAGGCAUAUACCAUCACUGCCUUGGUAAGGAUCCAGAAAUACCACAAAAGAGAGAUAUGAGAGAGUCAUACAAGGAAUCUCUAAGUUUUAUUUGAAAAUCUUCAAAAACUCCAGAGCUAUAGCUGAUCAAGAAUAAGAGACAUGACACUUGACUAGACCGUUCUAUCUUUUAACCACUCAAGACAGAAGUGACGGUUACAAGUCCCAUGGUGAAAGGUAAAGUAAGUAAGUUUUAAGUCUUGACAGUUUACUCUAAUUUAGAGAUGAUAUCUUAUUUAAAAGCAAGUGUACCAUCAAUUUUUAAAAAAAUAUGUUGCAACAACUUCUGAUCCAUCGCUGAGUCUAUCCUUGCUCAGGGACGAGCAAGAGGUAAGCUUGGGGGAGUUUGUUGACGGUCCUUAAGUAUCAAAUUUAAUUAUCAAAUAAACAAAGAAAAGGAUCCAAAUGAAAUCAGCAACUAGACUUAGGGUUUUAUCUGACAAAAUUCCAUGAGUUUUGGUGUUUGUCUAUUUCUGCAGGGGGUUAUCAGGAAAUACGGAAUAAAGGCCCACACGUCGGGAUUACAUAGAGAUAUCAAUGUGCCGUGCAAUUAUCUUACAUCUAGAAGACUCAAGAAGCCACGGGAAGGAAGCGGAGGCCGAACGGGGCCUGGCCUUGGGCGCCCGCCCAGGUAACCAGGGCGCCCGCCCCCCUUCUGAGUCCAAUCAGGACUCUCUUUCGGGAAAGAUCUCCACCGACCUAAAGGAUCAAGGAUAACCGUUCAAUCAAUGUCGGUUUGAUCCAACGGCCCAUAUUCACUUGAAGGGACUAUAAAACUAGACCCCCUGGCCCUUGGAGGAGAGAGCCUCUCAACCCUAAUUCAUUAUUCUCAAGGGAGAAGAAGCCUCUGAUCAAGAUUAGAGCCACCACAUCAAUUAGAUAUCUAGAUUAGCAUAGCUACAUAGGAUUAGAACUAGAAGGACUCAAUCUUCGAUUGGUUUCCGGAUCUGUCAAGAGGAUUCUUGGUAAUUCUCUAAUUGUGCUUCUAAUUGUUCUUCUAAUCAUCUUUGUUCUUCAAUAUUAUGAAUAUGACUUUAUUCUACUUCAAUAUAUUGCUUAUGACAUUGCUCUACUUGUUUAUAUUCAAGAUUAUAUUGUUCUUAGUUUAUCAUAGUUAUGUGCUUGGCUUAGUUCGAUUGGAUCUAUAUACAUGCUUACGAUCGUAUAGCGUUUAUCCAUCGGAUCCAUAGGUAAAUGAUAGAUAUUAUGUAGGCGUGGUGCUUAUACCGUAUUUAUCUGCGAUUGUACCCAAUAUGCCAGAUCGUGGGGUAGUUCGUGAUAGUGACAGCUUCAUUGAUUGUUAUAUAGUCCCCCUCUCGUGUAUUGGGCUGGUAGAGCAAUAUUAUUACAGGGGAGUGAUUGCUAUGUUUCUCAUUUACCUUGCUAAUAUCACUAUGCAUGGGCGUAGUCUUGUCUCGCAAUGAUUUCUAAGUAUGCUUGCACUAACUAUGAUAAUGUUAGACUAUAUUGUUGAGAAUAACUUAGAAUAUAUUCUUGUAGUAAUAUCCCAUUCAUUAUUUAUUUAGAAGAGCAAUUGCAUAUUUCAAUACCGCGUCUCUCAUGUCAUGCUGGGGAUGACAACUUGGCUUAAGUGGUAUGAGAGAUAGGUUUGGCAUUUUUGGCACCGUUACUAGAAUUAGAAAACUGUCUACUUUUGGUAAUGAUGUUAAGAAUACCCAACAUUAUUCUUAACUAUAAAGUCUAGCAUAUCAUAGUUAGUGCAAUUAUACUUGGCAAUCAUUGCGAGACAGGACUACGCCCUUGCAUAGUGAUAUUAUCAAGGAAGAUGAGAAAAAUAGCAAUCACUCCCCUGUAAUAAUGUUGCUCUGCCUGCCCUAUACACGAGAGGGGGACUAUAUAAGAAUCAAUGGAGCUGUCACUACCACAAACUACCCUGCGAUCCGGCAUAUAGGGUACAAUCGUAGAUAAAUACGGUAUAGGCACCACGGCUACACAAUAUUUAUCAUUUACCCACUGUACACAUGGAUAAACGCUAUACGAUCCUAAACAUGUAUAUAAUUCCAAUCUAACUAAGCCAAGCAUAAAACUAUGAUAAACUAAGAACGAUAUAAUUGCAAAUAUAAACAAGUAGAGCAAAGUCAUAAUCAAUAUAUUGAAGUUGAACAAAGUCAUAUUCAUAAUAUUGAAGAACAAUGAUGAACAAAUGAAGAACAGUAUAGGAAUUACCAAGAAUCAUCUUGAUAGAUCCGGAAACCAAUCGAAGAUUGACUCCUUCUAGUUCUAAUCCUAUGUAGCUAUGCUAAACUAGAGAUCUAGUUGAUGUGCUGGCUCUAGGGCUUGAUUAGAGACUUCUUCUCCCGAGAUGAAUGAAUGAAUUAUGGCUUUAGAGGUCCUCUCCUCCAGGGGCCAGGGGCCUGCUUAUAUAGUCCUUCCAAAUGAAUAUGGGCCGUCGGAUCAAACCGACCUUAAUCGCACGGUUUUCCUUAAUCCUCUAGGUCGGUGGAGCAUGAUCCGUGAGGUGGAGCCUAAUUGGCUCUCUGGCCAGGGCGGGUGCCCAAGGGGAGAGGGCGGGCGCCCUGUCCCCGGGCCCUCUCGGCCUCCCGCUCGUUCCAGUGGCUUCUGGACUCUUCUAGAUGUUGGAUAAUUGCGGUGCACAUUAAUAUCUCUAUGUAAACCCGACGUGUGGGCCUUUCUUCCAUGUUUCCUGAUAACCCCCUGUAGAAAUAGACAAACACCAAAACUCGUGGAAUUCUGUCAGAUAAAACCCUAAAGUCUGGGUGUCGAUUGCAUUUGGAUCCCUUUCUUUGUUUAUUUGUUGAUUAUAUUUGAUACUUAAGGACCGUCAACAAACUCCCCCAAGCUUACCUCUUGCUCGUCCCUGAGCAAGGAUAGACUCAGUGAUGGAUCAGAAGCUGCUGUAAUGCCAUUAAAAGUUGACGGUACACAUGCUUUCAAAUGAGGUCUCAUAUUUGAGUUAGAGUAAGCUGUCAAGAUUAAAACUUACUCAUUUUACCUUUUACCAUGGGACUUGUAAUCAUCACUUCUGUCUUGAGCAGUUAAAAGAUAGAACGGUCUAGUCAAGCGCCAUGUCUCUUAUUCUUGAUCAGCUAUAGCUCUGGAGUUUUUGUAGAUUUUCAAAUAAAACUCAGAGAUUCCUUUGUAUGACUCUCUCAGAUCUCUCUUUUGUGGUAUUUCUAGAUCCUUACCAUGGCAGUGAUGGUAUAUGCCUUCUCUCAAAGUAUGUGGUAUUUGUGGUAUGAAGCAUAGUAAACUUGCCUUCUCUCUCACCCUACUUUAAUAACGCUUUUGAUAUCUGGAGCUCAUAGGUGGGAGAUAAAGUAUACAUACUUACAAGACAUUUAUUGCAUAGUCAAACCAUGGAUCCAGAGAAACAAGUCAAUAAUUCAAAUCAAGAUGUGCAUGUGUGGCGAAUGAAUGGUGUAACAAUGGUGAAAGUCUAAUUCUACUUGUUGUGCUCUUUUGAGGGGAUACUUACCUUUCUUGCUCUUUGAAACUUUUUGAGGAGAAUGAGAUGCUCUAUAUUUUCUUUUUCUUUCCCCUCAGGUGGGUAUCUUGUAUCCCUAAUUCUACUAUCGGACACUUGUCCAUUUUUACCUCUCGUCUCACUUUUUCUUUUCUUUCGAGGUUCCGGGCACUUGCCCCUUUUUAUUUCCUCGUAUCUUUUUUCUUUUUUUUCUUUUUUAGAGCACUCAUCUCCUGAAAUAAUAUAGCAAAUGGUAGUAACCAAGAUAACUCGAGCAUUUAUUUCACCAGGAAAAAACAGAAAUAGGAGAAUGUUUUUGGCUAUUCUCUCCCGGAUUAGGAGUAGAAUACUUUUGGGUGGCUCUAGAGAUGGAAAUUAGUAGAUAUAUGUGGUGCGUAAUUCCGGAGUAGAAGCAGCAUGUGUGAGUGAACGAGCAAGUGAAUCUUAAUUUUAACCGCAUGGCAAGCUCCUAAGGGUCUACACAGCUUGACCACACUCAAUGCUCAUAAGCAGUAAAAAGUAAAUGUGUGGCUCAAAGUCUAGCAAGCAUGUAUAUAUGGCUGUGGUAGAAAUUUAAACUCUCAUCAUACAAGAACUCAUCAUGUGAUAUUUUAAGAUUUUCAAAGAUAAAAUUCUCCAGAGUUCUAGCAUCUCUAGAAACAGAUAAACAGCAGCUCAACCUUCCCAUAUCAUAUCCGUUAACAACUUAGACUUCAGAUCAAGUUCUCUUCCCACAAGUUCAGGUUUAGAGCCAGCUUUAAAUUAUACCAGUUAUGUCUAAACUAGAGAGAGAACUCAAAUAUGAAAAUUAGGCAGAGCAACUAUUCAUCAUAUCCAUGCUAGAGUCUUAUUAAGAUUCAGUUUAGCAUAGCCACUUUAUUUAUUUAUUAAGCAUACUAAGCAAAAGAUAUAUAUAUAAGCACAAAAUCUUUAUUUGGUUUUUCAUGGAUAUGUAUAUAUAUAUUUUUUUAAUAUAGUAUAAGUAUAAAUGCAGAUAGAAAUACUUAGCGAGAUAAAUGCGGGUGCUCUCCUCCAAGCUGGAUUUUAACGUAAUUUCUUCUGUUGUAGCUAGCAGGUGCUGGAGGUGUAUUUGAAAGUCGGCAGCACCCUGACAGCAAUUAGAAUGUCCUCCGUCUGCUAGUCUUCUUGAUCCUUGAAUUCUGUGAUCUCCAAUAGACAACAAAGCUUUGUGGAACUGAUUAGAUGUUAGCAUAAUAUUUAGAGCCACCUCAAUAAAUGCUACUUUCUUUGGUAGGAUCACAAUUUUAUUUUUGUAUUUUCAUUUUUAUAGAGCGGAAGAAUAUUUUUAUUUUAUUAUUAUUUUUUUAUGCCACCGUAGUGAAUGUACUUACGGAUUUGAUGCCACUUGUAUACUCACAUGGGACUUACUGGUUUUAACAUUUUUAUUUUCUUUUUAGGAUAGUAUGAAUAUAAUUAACUAAGCAAACUACUUUAAAUAAUUGAAAGGAAAAGGAUAACUACCAAGUUUACCUCUUGGCAAGGCGUUCGGUGUUUUUAAGUCCUCCGAACGGGACUCUCCGUUUUCUCAGUCGUCCUAGGAUUCGCUGGAUGGUAUAGUCGGUGUUACAGAACCGACCAAAUUAUAAGAGUUCAAGUGUAGAAACAAUCGACAAGCAAUCAAGUUUCCAAACUUGAGCCCAUAUAAUACUGGUAGUCAAUUGAAAUCACGAAGGACUUCAAACCAACUUGCAACAAACCAAGAUCGUAAUAACUCAGCACAACACAGCGAAUGUUACAUAGUCAUUCAUUGCUAUCGAAGCGGCACCACAUCGGAGUUAUUAAGUUAUUACAACACAUGUUCGAAGUAGCGGAAGCAAAAUAAUUACACAACGGAAAACAUCGUCAUAACAUAACGAACAUGUUAAGAUUGCACAUUGGGUCUACAAAGUUAUUACACCAUCACAGUACAUGCCAUGAGUCAAGGUCAAAGUUCCGGAUUACAACAUGGGUACAAAAGCAUCACCGCUAGCUGCCAGACUACAGAAGAUCCUCACAUAACACUACCCACUAGUCCCUACACUCCAGGCUCAUCGUCCGAGUCAGCGUCGAAGAUUGCAUCUCCAUCCUCAUCGCUAACUGACUCAAGCUCCUCGUCCUCCACGUCCUCGUGCAAGGGUGGUGCAUCCGCUGCUGGUCCAUCGAUCUCCAUACCAUCAUCAUCGGCCACAAUCACCUGAGGUCCCACCUCUGGAUACACGGGUAUAGGGUGAGGAAUAGGGUGUAACAAGUUGUUGAGACGGUGAAUCUCCACAAGACCAGCCUCAAUCUGAUCCUGUAGAUAGUUCUCCCGCUCAAGCGACUGAACCCGGUGCAUCUCCCAAGCCCGGCGCCAGUUCUCCGACACACGGAGUGCAGUGUCCCUCUCACGAGUGAUCUGCACCAAGCGCUCCUGUAUUGUCUCCCUCUCUCGAGACAACUGGCUCAUAUGAUCCUGCUUAUGAUCCCUCUCCCUAAUGGCCUUCACCCACGCAAUGCCUUUCCAGUCAUUGCGGUCCUUCUGAGCUUGCUCCAGGAGUCUAGCUUGCUUGUGAAACUUGCGAGCACGCUUUUCAGCCUUCCGUUGCAUCUCCUGAGCCUGGCGAACAGCCACCAUCACCUGUGCAU
rnacentral:lncRNA from 1 species